UACGGAGGGAGCUAGCGUUGUUCGGAAUUACUGGGCGUAAAGCGUACGUAGGCGGUUAUUCAAGUCAGAGGUGAAAGCCCGGGGCUCAACCCCGGAACUGCCUUUGAAACUAGGUAGCUAGAAUCUUGGAGAGGUCAGUGGAAUUCCGAGUGUAGAGGUGAAAUUCGUAGAUAUUCGGAAGAACACCAGUGGCGAAGGCGACUGACUGGACAAGUAUUGACGCUGAGGUACGAAAGCGUGGGGAGCAAACAGG
rnacentral:rRNA from 2 species